GAGCGAUCUGGAGCAAAACUCUAAAAAACAAUCUCAGUUCAGAUUGCAGGCUGCAACUCGCCUGCAUGAAGUCGGAAUUGCUAGUAAUCGUAGGUCAGCAUACUACGGUGAAUACGUUCCCGGGCCUUGUACACGCCGCCCGUCAAACCAUGAGAGUUGGCAACACCCGAAGUCGGUAGUCUAACCGCAAGGAGGACGCCGCCGAAGGUGGGGUUGAUGAUUAGGGUUAAGUCGUAACAAGGUACC
rnacentral:rRNA from 1 species